GCCGGGAUGGCGAAAGGGAAGACGCUAUGGAUUCAAAAUCCAUUGUCCGAAAGGGCGUGCGGGUUCGAAUCCCGCUCCCGGCACCA
rnacentral:tRNA from 1 species